AUUAGUUUUAGUGGGAACAAUUAAUGAACUAGUGGCUUAAUGUGGUAGCACUAGUCCACGUGGGUGCAUGGGCUGAAGAGAAAGUGAUGACUAUUACCACCUAUAUGUAUCUAUCUAGACUUGUUGCAAAACACAAGGACUAAUUGGGUGGGGCCCACUGCCAUAAAGGUAAGUUUACUCACCUAUUUUUCUUAUAUAUCCUACUGAAGGUAAAGGAAAUUUCAGAUUUCAAUUUUUAGGGAGGAGCAACGUACAGUGCAUUUUCUUUCUUUCUAAAGAAUAUAGCAAAACAUUAUUUCUCUUUUGGAAAGAAAAAUCAUAUGGAAUUGGGGCAGCAACCUUCUUGCACGAGAUUCAUUCUCAUAUGAAAUUACAUAUACACAUGGAGUAUUUUAAACCAGCAACGUGAAUUCUUUUGGCAAGCAUCAACAUGUUUUAUUCUAUUUUAGGCAGAUUGGGGAAAAAGGAAAAUUUGAGGUGUGAAAUUGUUGUAACAUUCAAGUGAUUAGCAAGGUUAAGAAGCCAAGUUGAUUAAGGCUAAAAGAGCGACGAGACGAACGGAUUACGAAUAGCCGCUAACAGGUAUGUAAAGCGCAACCCUUCUUUCUUUUGGCAUGCCUUAGUUUUCAAUAGGCUAUAUCACGAGCCUCGAGGAAAUUCUAAAUUCGAAAUCCGAGUACGUUAUGAUCCUUAUAUAUAUUCUUGGCAUUCUUAUGUAUGAUGUGAUGAAAUAUGAACCAUUAUGUCUUCCAAAGCAUUGAUUUCCAAACUUUGUACAAAAAGUUGUUUUAAAGAAUUCCGUAACUACGAAAUGCCAUAUCUUUUGCAUAAAGGCUCGGAUUGCUCCAAUAUUUUUAUAGGAGUUUGCAUGAUGUAUAAUGAGUAUGUUUUACAUAGGCGGGCCCGACUCGGGUCAAUGCCCAUCCGUGGGUCCCGCGACUUUCCUUUAUGUAAUUCGGACGACUUUUGAAAGGAUUUGGUAUGAUUAUCAUUUCGAAUGUCAAGUAUGGUCAUUUACUUAUAUUUGAGUCUAUGAUAAUGAUUUUAUGCAUAUGGUUACUCAUGACUCUGCUCGUGCGUUCUGUUAUAUCUUUCGCCGGUUCCCGGGCCGGUUCUGUUGUCGUGCGCACUUUGAUAUACUCCGGAGUUAUGCUGUGUUUAUGGUUCACCGAGCUACUCGCAAAAGAAAGUCGGGUUCCACAUAUAUUUGGUGUUAUGCUGUGUAUGGCGUUAUGUUGUGAUGUGAUAUGUGACGGGGAUACGGAGAUUUGAAACAUUCUGGUGUUAUGCUGUGUUAUGGCGCCAUCGACGGGCGGGCGACCAUAUUCUUCUGUACCUUAUGCAUGACUUAUAUUUUGAAAGUAAACAUUUUGAUAUGUUGGAUUUAUACUUAUGUUCUGUACUACUAUUUCGUUUAUGCCUCAGAUUUGUUCCUGUAUUUUCUGCUUUGCAUACUCAGUACAUAUUUCGUACUGACCCCUUUCUUCGGGGGGCUGCGUUUCAUGCCCGCAAGUACAGACGCACAGUUUGGUGAUCCACCAGUUUAGAACACCCUCUUCUGCUGUUUGGAGUGCUCCUCUUAUUCCGGAGCCUACAUUUUGGUAUAUAUACUUGUUUGAUGCAUAUGUAUAUAUUUGUUCAGGGGUACGGCGGGGCCCUGUUCUGCCAUAUGUUUCUGUUGGUCUGUUUAGAGGUCUGUAGACGUAUUUGUGGGUGUGUGUGCCUACUCCUGUACGGGUGUGUUUGGUAUGAUCCCAUUCGUUAUGGCAGCCUUGUCGGCGUGCAUUCGUAUAUGUGUUUUGGGCCGUUGUGCCAUUUGAUAGCCUUGUCGGCUUUUGAUACAUUUGAUAGCCUUGUCGGCUUUUGGUACAUUUGAUAGCCUUGUCGGCUUUUGAUACAUUUGACAGCCUUGCCGGCUUUUUGAUA